rnacentral:rRNA from 1 species
AGUGCUUGCACUCAAWYGGAARGAGGAGKGGCGGACGGGKGAGUAACACGUGGGURACCUACCCAUCAGAGGGGGAUAACACUUGGAAACAGGUGCUAAUACCGCAUAACAGUUUAUGCCGCACGGCAUAAGAGUGAARGGCGCUUUCGRGUGUCGCUGAUGGAUGGACCCGCGGUGCAUUAGCUAGUUGGUGAGGUAACGGCUCACCAAGGCCACGAUGCAUAGCCGACCUGAGAGGGUGAUCGGCCACACUGGGACUGAGACACGGCCCAGACUCCUACGGGAGGCAGCAGUAGGGAAUCUUCGGCAAUGGACGAAAGUCUGACCGAGCAACGCCUCGUGAGUGAAGAAGGUUUUCGGAUCGUAAAACUCUGUUGUUAGAGAAGAACAAGGACGUUGUAACUGAACGUCCCCWGACGGUUCUAACCAGAAGCCACGGCUAACUACUGCCAGCAGCCGCGGUAAUACRUAGUUGCAAGCGUUGUCCGGAUUUAUUGGGCGUAAAGCGAGCGCAAGCUGUUUCUUAAGUCUGAUGUGAAAGCCCCCGGC